GUGAGGGAGAACCUCAACUUCACCCCUUCUCCCGUUAUUCGUCUCCAUUUUUACUUUUUUUUUAUUGGUAAUCGUAUUUUCCUUUAAUUAUUUUGGAUCAGACACAAACAUGUCGCAACUCAGGGCAAGAGUAUUCCUGUGUGCUGCCGAGGUCGCCCGGUGAGAAACAGCUUGGAGAAGGAAGGGACUCCCUUCAAAGGCCGGCAGAGGCGCGUGCUGCUGUCCCUGGUGCUGAACCCCGGCGCGAGACUCUGGAAGCGAUCUUAGGAAAACAUAAUAUGGGUAAAAAAUGCACCGAUUUUUCUUCUUCUAAUUUCGCUCCCACGGAAGAAGUCGUACUGUAGCAGUCGGAGCCGUGUGUCGCGAGAGCACCCUGAACUUGUCCGAAGUGGAGGGACUCCGCUCCCCAGCAGCCUGGAAGCAUGCUUCUCGCGCCCCCCGCUCUGCCGCAGCGUGUCGUGCGGGCUGGGGAAUUUAAGAGCAGCCGCUUCCGACAGUUCAGA